GACGAACGCUGGCGGCGUGCUUAACACAUGCAAGUCGAACGGAAAGGCCCGCAUCAUUUUUGUGGUGGGGGUGCUCGAGUGGCGAACGGGUGAGUAACACGUGGGUGAUCUGCCCUGUACUUCGGGAUAAGCUUGGGAAACUGGGUCUAAUACCGGAUAGGACCAUGGUUUAGUGUCUCAUGGUGGAAAGAUUAUUGUUUUGGUGCAGGAUGAGCUCGCGGCCUAUCAGCUUGUUGGUGGGGUAAUGGCCUACCAAGGCGUCGACGGGUAGCCGGCCUGAGAGGGUGGACGGCCACAUUGGGACUGAGAUACGGCCCAGACUCCUACGGGAGGCAGCAGUGGGGAAUAUUGCACAAUGGGCGCAAGCCUGAUGCAGCGACGCCGCGUGGGGGAUGACGGCCUUCGGGUUGUAAACUCCUUUCGUUAGGGACGAAGCCACAUUUUUUGGGUGUGGUGACGGUACCUUUGUUAAGAAGCACCGGCUAACUACGUGCCAGCAGCCGCGGUAAUACGUAGGUGCGAGCGUUGUCCGGAAUUACUGGGCGUAAAGAGCUCGUAGGUGGUUUGUUGCGUCGUCUGUGAAAUUUCCGGGGCUUAACUUCGGGGUGGCAGGCGAUACGGGCAUAACUAGAGUGCUGUAGGGGAGACUGGAAUUCCUGGUGUAGCGGUGGAAUGCGCAGAUAUCAGGAGGAACACCGAUGGCGAAGGCAGGUCUCUGGGCAGUAACUGACGCUGAGGAGCGAAAGCAUGGGGAGCGAACAGGAUUAGAUACCCUGGUAGUCCAUGCUGUAAACGGUGGGCGUUAGGUGUGGGGACCGGUUUGGUUUCUGUGCCGUAGCUAACGCAUUAAGCGCCCCGCCUGGGGAGUACGGCCGCAAGGCUAAAACUCAAAGGAAUUGACGGGGGCCCGCACAAGCGGCGGAGCAUGUGGAUUAAUUCGAUGCAACGCGAAGAACCUUACCUGGGUUUGACAUGCACCAGACGGUUGUAGAGAUACGUACCUCCCUUUGUGGUUGGUGUGCAGGUGGUGCAUGGUUGUCGUCAGCUCGUGUCGUGAGAUGUUGGGUUAAGUCCCGCAACGAGCGCAACCCUUGUCUUAUGUUGCCAGCACUUUGGGUGGGGACUCAUGAGAGACUGCCGGGGUUAACUCGGAGGAAGGUGGGGAUGACGUCAAAUCAUCAUGCCCUUUAUGCCCAGGGCUUCACACAUGCUACAAUGGUUAGUACAACGCGCUGCGAACCUGUGAGGGUGAGCGAAUCGCUGAAAGCUAAUCUCAGUUCGGAUUGGGGUCUGCAACUCGACCCCAUGAAGUCGGAGUCGCUAGUAAUCGCAGAUCAGCAAUGCUGCGGUGAAUACGUUCCCGGGCCU
rnacentral:rRNA from 1 species